GGGGUCGACCGGUUUUGACAGCAGGUCGAAUUGAAUGGUAAGCACGUCGAGUAAGGGGAAAUAAACUCGUAAAACUUAGGUCUCAAACAUUUAAACGGCGAAAAUAACUACGCUCUUGCUGCUUAAUCUGAAUCAUAGUAAGAUGAGCCUCGCUCCUACCAGGUAGGAAAGCAGGAUUCUCCCGAAAAGCCUUGGUUUGUGGCGUUUCAUCAGGGGGAACCGUAAAAAUAAACCUAGGAAUGGUUUUGCUUCGCGGCCAUUCUGACAACUCAGAAGCUAAGCGUUGUGUGGCUGUUUCGGGCCUCGCACAAUGUCGAAAAUUCAAUCCGGAAAUAAACGUGUAGAAAGCUCUUUAGUUGCCUGUUUGGACGGGAGUUCGACUCUCCCCGACUCCACUU
rnacentral:tmRNA from 1 species